UAUGAAACGUUGAACUUCCGGUCCGUCAUUUUGGCACUACGUGUUGUUCUUGUUCUCGAUUGGAUACCCUUGCGCUCGUUUACAAAAACCGUAUUUAACGACGCUUUUUCGGUAUUUUCCGACUUCAUCCGCAUACCACCAACAAAUAUUUAAUUUAACAAACAUGGACCAAAUGGAAGACCCCGCUGGAUCGGAUAAUAAACGAGCUAUAGAGCGGAAAAGGAGUUGAAGAUGCCAAAAGAGGACUUCAGAGAGGACAAGCUUUCAACAUCAGCACCGUCCAUCACUUUGUCCCUCCCCUCAUCCCCUAAACACCCGGCACAGGCACUGGUUUAGCCAGAGUCCUCACAACAAUACUCUGUUUAAGUCCAG